GACGAACGCUGGCGGCGUGCUUAACACAUGCAAGUCGAACGAUGAAGCUAGAGCUUGCUCUGGUGGAUUAGUGGCGAACGGGUGAGUAACACGUGAGUAACCUGCCUCGAACUCUGGAAUAACUGCUGGAAACGGUGGCUAAUACCGGAUAUGACCAAUGAAGGCAUCUUCUGUUGGUGGAAAGAAUUACGGUUCGGGAUGGACUCGCGGCCUAUCAGCGUGGUGGUGAGGUAACGGCUCACCAAGGCGACGACGGGUAGCCGGCCUGAGAGGGUGAUCGGCCACACUGGGACUGAGACACGGCCCAGACUCCUACGGGAGGCAGCAGUGGGGAAUAUUGCACAAUGGGCGCAAGCCUGAUGCAGCAACGCCGCGUGAGGGACGACGGCCUUCGGGUUGUAAACCUCUUUUAGUAGGGAAGAAGCGAAAGUGACGGUACCUGCAGAAAAAGCACCGGCUAACUACGUGCCAGCCGCCGCCGUAA
rnacentral:rRNA from 1 species